rnacentral:rRNA from 1 species
GACGAACGCUGGCGGCGUGCUUAACACAUGCAAGUCGAGCGGAAAGGCCCUUCGGGGUACUCGAGCGGCGAACGGGUGAGUAACACGUGAGUAACCUGCCCCAGACUUUGGGAUAACCCUCGGAAACGGGGGCUAAUACCGGAUACGACACAGCUUCGCAUGGGGUCUGUGUGGAAAGUUUUUCGGUUUGGGAUGGGCUCGCGGCCUAUCAGCUUGUUGGUGGGGUGAUGGCCUACCAAGGCGACGACGGGUAGCCGGCCUGAGAGGGCGACCGGCCACACUGGGACUGGGGCACGGCCCAGAAUCCUACGGGAGGCAGCAGGGGGGAAUAUUGCACAAUGGGCGGAAGCCUGAUGCAGCGACGCCGCGUGAGGGAUGACGGCCUUCGGGUUGUAAACCUCUUUCAGCAGGGACGAAGCGUAAGUGACGGUACCUGCAGAAGAAGCGCCGGCCAACUACGUG